rnacentral:rRNA from 1 species
UACGUAGGUGGCAAGCGUUGUCCGGAUUUAUUGGGUUUAAAGGGUGCGUAGGUGGCCCUGUAAGUCAGUGGUGAAAUAUCUCAGCUUAACUGAGAGGGUGCCAUUGAUACUGCAGGGCUUGAGUACAGAUGAGGUAGGCGGAAUUCCCGGUGUAGCGGUGAAAUGCGCAGAUAUCGGGAGGAACACCUAUGGCGAAGGCAGCUCGCUGGGACGUUACUGACGCUGAGACGCGAAAGCGUGGGGAGCAAACAGG